rnacentral:rRNA from 1 species
GAUGAACGCUGGCGGCGUGCCUAAUACAUGCAAGUCGAGCGAACGGACGAGAAGCUUGCUUUUCUGAUGUUAGCGGCGGACGGGUGAGUAACACGUGGAUAACCUACCUAUAAGACUGGGAUAACUUCGGGAAACCGGAGCUAAUACCGGAUAAUAUUUUGAACCGCAUGGUUCAAAAGUGAAAGACGGUCUUGCUGUCACUUAUAGAUGGAUCCGCGCUGCAUUAGCUAGUUGGUAAGGUAACGGCUUACCAAGGCAACGAUGCAUAGCCGACCUGAGAGGGUGAUCGGCCACACUGGAGCUGAGACACGGUCCAGACUCCUACGGGAGGCAGCAGUAGGGAAUCUUCCGCAAUGGGCUAAAGCCUGACGGAGCAACGCCGCGUGAGUGAUGAAGGUCUUCGGAUCGUAAAACUCUGUUAUUAGGGAAGAACAUAUGUGUAAGUAACUGUGCACAUCUUGACGGUACCUAAUCAGAAAGCCACGGCUAACUACGUG